rnacentral:lncRNA from 1 species
UAUGUAUUUAGAGAAUGUUUGUUUCACUGUUUUCGUUUUCAUGCGUUUGGUUCAGGAGGGAAAAUGAGUGGAGUCAAUCUAAAAGAUUUUACCGGUCAACGUAAAAACCCAUGUUUUUUUUUUCUUUAAAAUAUCUUUACCCUUUAAUUUUCCAUCCUUUCUUUCUCAUCAUCUAUCGAGAGAUCAUCCUGCCCUUUUUCUUAUUCUCUUCCCGGUGGCACCAUCCAACAUCUCCCACCAGCAACAUUACCGGUAAGACUUGUCUCAUGCUCCUCCAUCUUUCCCUCCUACUUUCUCUCUUGCACCAAAAUUCGUUCCUUCACCCAUCUCUGCUAUCAGUUCCUGGGCAUGGGUAUCUCAUUCCCACAAAACUUAAGAGACUCGUCUUACCGUUUCUUAUGCUUCAUCUAGGCUGCCCUUUGCUUGUUAUUUUCUUGUUACAUAGAAGCCCAAAAUCCAUAAAAAUUGAACUCAUAUCUAUUCUUUUUUUGGGGUCACCAUGCCUCGAGUGAUCCUGACAGAUGGGAUCUCUAUCUCUUGCUUUUCUACCUCUUAUCAUCAAUUACAACCUUGAUCAUAAAGAAAUGCGAAAUUUUGUGUAUUGUUGAGAAUUUCCUUCUAAUGCAUGUUGAUUAGAAAAUGAAAACGGGAAGACAGAUAGGAAACUAGGAUGCAAUUUAUGCAACUUCAUGAUAUGCUUCUUAAGUUUAACCAUGACUUAAACACUUUUUUUCUUUUUUUGUAUUAAAGCAUAGCUGGUUCUUCGUUUCACCUCCGUUGGCUAAUGAUAUAGGUUUAAUGCACUGCUUCCUUGAAUGGGAUUCAUCCACUUUGUUUAAUGCAUUUUUUUACUAUUCAAUUUGCAAUUUUCAAUAUCAGAUGUACGUUUCAGAUGCUUUAAAGUUCACAGGCACUACGAAAUAAGUCAUUUUUUGGGAGCACUUUUCUCCCUAAUUUUUCUUUUUAAAGUGAAUAGAAUAUCAAGAACUUCGAGAUUCACAAUCAGUUUGUUUAAUGCAUUUUUCCAUUACACGUGUGAUGAUGGUACUGGAUAAUCUAUUUGGUUAAAUCAGAUUUGAUUACACAUAAAUUUCCUGUGUAAUGAAAUUGAUGUUGCAAAUUAGCAGGUUUAUAGUUGUGAGGUUUUCUACUUCUGCAUAGUUGUCUUCUAUAAGUUGAAUUUGAGAUUAAACAACUCCAUAGAUGGAUGGUUAACAUGAACCUACAAGGAUUUCAGCUGAAAAAUGCAAGAGAGCCAUUACAUGAAAUUUGAAUGUGGAAAAAGGACACAGAGAGCAAAGGAGAGCCCCAAGUGCUAGUUAAGGUUAUCAUGUAGCUUUUUUAAUAUUUCAUUAAUUCUUGUGUUAAAAGCCAGUUCCUCUGAGACAUUACAACUGCAAUAUUAGACUAUUGCAGGUUAGCAAGAUCACUGGCUUGCAAUGGCACUUCACCUUUAUAACAUCUAGGAGGGUAGCUAAAUUUGUUAUCAUAAGUAGUAGUGUGAUAGGAUUUAUAGCAAUGCACAUGAUGAUCUAAAGCCAUUUGUUGAUGUAGGUGUCUAACUAGCUCAUAAAUGGAUGAGUUCGUUAUUGGAAACCAACGGUGGAAGAACUAGGCAUGCUUGAGAUCAAAGGCUUGGCAGAAUGCAAUCAGAACUUGAGAAAAAAGUGAUAAAAUCUACUAGUGAAUGAGGUACCAGUCGCCCAAAUGAAGACCAAUCUAUCAACACUAGUGAUUAUGCUAGUAUUAUUGACAUAUGUUAUGGUUUGCUACGAAUGUUCUUGGAUACCUAAAUCUUAAAAUUAUGUAUACUAGUAUUGAUUAUGGGAGGUUGGCAUUAGCAAUUGUAGAUACGAUAAACUUGUAUUUAAUGUUGUCUAGCUUUAAUGUUUCAGCUGACAAUUGUAGAUUCUGU